rnacentral:rRNA from 1 species
GACGAACGCUGGCGGCGUGCUUAACACAUGCAAGUCGAACGGUAAGGCCCUUCGGGGUACACGAGUGGCGAACGGGUGAGUAACACGUGGGUGAUCUGCCCUGCACUUCGGGAUAAGCCUGGGAAACUGGGUCUAAUACCGGAUAGGACUCCUGCCUGCAUGGGUGGGGGUGGAAAGCUUUUGCGGUGUGGGAUGGGCCCGCGGCCUAUCAGCUUGUUGGGGGGGUGAUGGCCUACCAAGGCGACGACGGGUAGCCGGCCUGAGAGGGUGACCGGCCACACUGGGACGGAGAUACGGCCCAGAAUCCUACGGGAGGCAGAAGGGGGGAAUAUUGCACAAUGGGCGCAAGCCGGAUGCAGCGACGCCGCGUGAGGGAUGACGGCCUUCGGGUUGUAAACCUCUUUCAGCACAGACGAAGCGCAAGUGACGGUAUGUGCAGAAGAAGGACCGGCCAACUACGUGCCAGCCGCCGCCGUAA